GUAAAGAGCUCGUAGGCGGUUUGUCGCGUCUGCCGUGAAAGUCCGGGGCUUAACUCCGGAUCUGCGGUGGGUACGGGCAGACUAGAGUGCAGUAGGGGAGACUGGAAUUCCUGGUGUAGCGGUGAAAUGCGCAGAUAUCAGGAGGAACACCGAUGGCGAAGGCAGGUCUCUGGGCUGUAACUGACGCUGAGGAGCGAAAGCAUGGGGAGCGAACAGGAUUAGAUACCCUGGUAGUCCAUGCCGUAAACGUUGGGCACUAGGUGUGGGGGACAUUCCACGUUUUCCGCGCCGUAGCUAACGCAUUAAGUGCCCCGCCUGGGAAGUACGGCCGCAAGGCUAAAACUCAAAGGAAUUGACGGGGGCCCGCACAAGCGGCGGAGCAUGCGGAUUAAUUCGAUGCAACGCGAAGAACCUUACCAAGGCUUGACAUGAACCGGAAUGAUGCAGAGAUGUGUCAGCCACUUGUGGCCGGUUUACAGGUGGUGCAUGGUUGUCGUCAGCUCGUGUCGUGAGAUGUUGGGUUAAGUCCCGCAACGAGCGCAACCCUCGUUCCAUGUUGCCAGCGGGUUAUGCCGGGGACUCAUGGGAGACUGCCGGGGUCAACUCGGAGGAAGGUGGGGACGACGUCAAAUCAUCAUGCCCCUUAUGUCUUGGGCUUCACGCAUGCUACAAUGGCCGGUACAAAGGGUUGCGAUACUGUGAGGUGGAGCUAAUCCCAAAAAGCCGGUCUCAGUUCGGAUUGAGGUCUGCAACUCGACCUCAUGAAGUUGGAGUCGCUAGUAAUCGCAGAUCAG
rnacentral:rRNA from 1 species